rnacentral:rRNA from 1 species
CCUACGGGGGACAGCAGUGAGGAAUAUUGGUCAAUGGACGAGAGUCUGAACCAGCCAAGUAGCGUGAAGGAUGACUGCCCUAUGGGUUGUAAACUUCUUUUAUAUGGGAAUAAAACGUUCCACGUGUGGGAUUUUGUAUGUACCAUAUGAAUAAGGAUCGGCUAACUCCGUGCCAGCAGCCGAGGUAAUACGGAGGAUCCGAGCGUUAUCCGGAUUUAUUGGGUUUAAAGGGAGCGUAGGUGGAUUGUUAAGUCAGUUGUGAAAGUUUGCGGCUCAACCGUAAAAUUGCAGUUGAAACUGGCAGUCUUGAGUACAGUAGAGGUGGGCGGAAUUCGUGGUGUAGCGGUGAAAUGCUUAGAUAUCACGAAGAACUCCGAUUGCGAAGGCAGUUCACUGGACUGCAACUGACACUGAGGCUCGAAAGUGUGGGUAUCAAACAGGAUUAGAGACCCGUGUAGUC